AUGUGAAGUUCCCAGAAGAAACAGGAAGAAACUCCUCUGUUCUUCUACCCAAAGGGGGAAAAACUCAAAUUCAUCAUCAAAUCCUGAUAAAGGUUCCUCCUUUGAUUCAAAUUCAUCUUCUCCGAUCUUUAUCACUGGUUUUCUUAAUGUCAAUUUGGAUUUACAGCCUUCUCUACCUCUCUCAAAACAUGCCAAAGGCGGCUCCUUUAGAUUUCUUCAUCAAUUACUCAAAAAAGUACAAACUUUGAUUGGAUUCAUAGUCUAGAACACUUCUCAUCUCUUAAUUUCAAACCUGCAUAUCUUUUUGUAUUGAUUUUAAUUCAUUAAUCAAUCAGUCUGGAUCGCUAGAUUAAACCUAUUCAUGGGUGAAGAAAGUAGCAGCAUCAAUCAAUCUGUAUAGAUUGCUAAUUCCAUAUGAAAACUUGUUAUACCAGAAUUGAAUUGGAAUUGUAAUUGUGAUUGUGAUUGUGAUUGUGAUGGAAGUUUUGUUAGUUUUCCUGGGUCAUUUUGAAUGAUAUUGAUUUGAAUGGUCUUGCAGUUUCUCACGGCUAUGUUUGCUAGGAAGGAUCACCAUGUGCUGGUUUCAGCUUUGUGUAUCCCAUAGAAUGAGCUUCCUGAUAUGUUCUUGAGCCCUCUUGCGAAGGAGGGUGUUGUUAUUCUAGCACCAGAAAAGUGGAAACACUCUGGUAACAGUCGGAAUGAUGGUGUUAGAUGCUAAUGUUACAAUCUUAACAUAGGCAUAAGCCUCAAUAUUCAAAAAUAGGGAAAUGCAAGCUUGAGAUGGAUUGCGUUCACACUUCAGCGAAGCAGAUCAAGGUAACAUAUUUUGCUGAAAUAGGAUUGACUGAAGCUUUCCAGAAGCUAAGAAAGUACUCUGCAACAUUAAAUGAUAUGGUGAGUCUGUCCAUGAGUGACACUAUUUGGUCUGGUUUGGAAGAAACUUAUUUCACACCCUGGAUCAAAUUAUGAUGGAGCUCAGUGAAGGAGAACCCGUCUCGACAUUUGAGUUUAUUGCAAGCGUAGUAUUAUGUUUCAAGUGGCUAGUAUCUGAAAGGAAAAGUCGUAGAGCAUAUCUGAUUAUUCACUUGUUAUAAUGAAGAGGUGUGCAUCAUUUGCUAGUUUCUCUUUGUCCUAUUUAGUUUUGAAGCAAGGAAUAAAUACUUCUUAUAGACAGCACUUUGUUCCCCACUAGUUCAAUCUCAUUCCUCUUCAACAUCUUUUAAUAAUGACUCAAGUCUUAGUAGUGAUAGGCGCUGAUUUGUGUGUAACUUUCCUCGGAAAAGUUUCGAAUUCACCGGAUCCACGUCCUAAACUCUGCUGUACAAAUGAUGGAUGCUCACGCCCACCAAAAAAGGUUAUACUUGGAAGUGGAGUACGAGGUUGGCACAGGUCUGGGUCCAACUCUGGGAUUCUAUACUUUGGUUGGUCACGAAUUUCAAAUACUAGGCUUGGGAUAAUGGGGUACGUGGAGGAAAGAUCGCAGUUUCCCCAGUUCAGGGAAAAAUGUAGAACCUGGGUGUAUAGUUGCUUCUUCUGGACUUUUUCCUCGCCCAUGAUCAAUUACUAUGGAGUUGUCAAAUGGGGUCAAGUCUUCUGAGGUGCUAAGGAGGUUUGUGUGGAAUUUUCAAAUGGGGUCAAGUCUUCUAGGGCGUUAAAGAGGUUUGUCCUUCUUGGAAAGGUUGUAGCCAAGGCAUUUCAAGAUGGAAGAAUUCUGGACCUUCCUUUAUCUGAAGCUUUUAUACGUUGCUCUGGAUCAGGAUCUCGACAUACAUGAUAUCGAGUCGCUUGAUCCUGGUCUUGGAAGGGUUCUGGUAGAGUUCCAGGCUCUUGUUGAUCGAAAGAGAAUUUUCAGUCAUAUAUCUGCCUUCUAUAUUAGGAAUAAAGAUAUUGAUGAUCUUGUAUCCGGAUUACCUGCUUACAUCCAGCCAAGAUCACAGAAUGGUAAGCACAGCUAAAUACGAUUCGCUGAUCGUGGAUGCCACUUUGAGUUCUGGAAUUUUGAGG